AGAUCAGGUAGGGAUACCCGCUGAACUUAAGCAUAUCAAUAAGCGGAGGAAAAGAAACCAACAGGGAUUGCCCCAGUAACGGCGAGUGAAGCGGCAACAGCUCAAAUUUGAAAUCUGGCCCCCCCCGCGGGGCCCGAGUUGUAAUUUGCAGAGGAUGCUUUUGGCGCGGCGCCUUCCGAGUUCCCUGGAACGGGACGCCAUAGAGGGUGAGAGCCCCGUCUGGUCGGACGCCCAGCCUCUGUAAAGCUCCUUCGACGAGUCGAGUAGUUUGGGAAUGCUGCUCUAAAUGGGAGGUAUAUGUCUUCUAAAGCUAAAUACUGGCCAGAGACCGAUAGCGCACAAGUAGAGUGAUCGAAAGAUGAAAAGCACUUUGAAAAGAGGGUUAAACAGUACGUGAAAUUGUUGAAAGGGAAGCGCUUGUGACCAGACAUGGGCGCGGCGAAUCAUCCGGCGUUCUCGCCGGUGCACUUCGCCGCGCCCGGGCCAGCAUCAGUUCGCGGCGGGGGACAAAGGCGCCGGGAACGUGGCUCCCCCGGGAGUGUUAUAGCCCGGCGCGCAAUGCCCCGCGGCGGACUGAGGUUCGCGCAUCCGCAAGGAUGCUGGCGUAAUGGUCACCAGUGACCCGUCUUGAAACACGGACCAAGGAGUCGUCCUCGUAUGCGAGUGUUCGGGUGUCAAACCCCUACGCGCAAUGAAAGUGAACGCAGGUGAGAGCCUCACGGCGCAUCAUCGACCGAUCCUGAUGUUCUCGGAUGGAUUUGAGUAAGAGCAUACGGGGCCGGACCCGAAAGAAGGUGAACUAUGCCUGUGUAGGGUGAAGCCAGAGGAAACUCUGGUGGAGGCUCGCAGCGGUUCUGACGUGCAAAUCGAUCGUCAAACAUGGGCAUGGGGGCGAAAGACUAAUCGAACCUUCUAGUAGCUGGUUUCCGCCGAAGU
rnacentral:rRNA from 1 species